rnacentral:rRNA from 1 species
CCUACGGGAGGCAGCAGUGGGGAAUCUUGCACAAUGGGGGAAACCCUGAUGCAGCGAUGCCGCGUGAGUGAAGAAGGCCUUUGGGUUGUAAAACUCUUUCGUCGGGGAAGAAAUGACUGUACCCGAAUAAGAAGGUCCGGCUAACUUCGUGCCAGCAGCCGCGGUAAU